UUGAAUUUGGGGAUUUUUUUUAAAAGUGUCACAUAUUGGGAAUUUGAGUUUCAAAGUGUGGCAAUUAUGUAAAAAGCCCUAUGAUGGUAUCUCGCAUCAUUUAAAAUAUGCUAUAACUUUGUUUCUAAAUUCUAAAUCAAAAAAUCUGAAGAAGAAACAAUAGCUAAGCUACAUACCCUAUACAAUCCCAAAUCAACCAUAUAUACAAUCCCAAAUUAGAUUUUUAAAAUACUGCAUAGUUGGACCGGUUCGACUGUUCGGUCCGAUUUUUAAACUCUGCAUAGUGGGAAUUAGAUUUCCUAAUCCCUAUACAAUCUCAAAUCAACAGCUGAUAUUCAUUACCGCAUGAAACUGCAUGUAAGCUUAACUGCAGAAAAUCAUGAUCUGGCUUCAUGAGUAGUAGUUUUUUUUUUUUU
rnacentral:lncRNA from 1 species